rnacentral:rRNA from 1 species
UACGUAGGGGGCAAGCGUUGUCCGGAAUCAUUGGGCGUAAAGAGCGUGUAGGCGGCCCGAUAAGUCCGCUGUGAAAAGUCCAGGGCUCAACCCUGGAAUGCCGGUGGAUACUGUCGGGCUCGAAUCCGGAAGAGGUGAGUGGAAUUCCUGGUGUAGCGGUGAAAUGCGCAGAUAUCGGGAGGAACACCGGUGGCGAAGGCGGCCCCCUGGUUGGAUACUGACGCUGAGGCGCGAAAGCGUGGGGAGCAAACAGG